rnacentral:rRNA from 1 species
CAGCAGCCACGGUAACACGUAGGUGGCGAGCGUUGUCCGGAAUUAUUGGGCGUAAAGGGAGCGCAGGCGGACAUAUAAGUCCAUCUUAAAAGUGCGGGGCUCAACCCCGUGAGGGGAUGGAAACUGUAUGCCUUGAGUGUAGGAGAGGAAAGCGGAAUUCCCAGUGUAGCGGUGAAAUGCGUAGAUAUUGGGAGGAACACCAGUGGCGAAGGCGGCUUUCUGGACUGCAACUGACGCUGAGGCUCGAAAGCCAGGGGAGCGAACGGGAUUAGAUACCCCCGUAGUCCCUGUCUCUUAUACA